GCUAUUUGGACGUGUUGUGUGUGGCAUUGUUGUGUCUGUUUAUUGACAUUGUUGCGUUCGUAGACAUUGUUGUAUCAUUAUCGCCGUCAACAAUCCGCUUUCGUUAUUUAGGAAAGAACUGAGCUGUGAAUCGCUUGUAGAAGGAGUGCGUCGUGGACUAGAUAACUUUGUGCUGGUAGAAACGUUUCAGAAUGUGCGCAACACAGGGAGUGGGAUCUUAAAGAAAAUAUACCACCACAAAAGGCACAGCUAUAAGUGAAUAUGGGCUAUGUCGAUGCCAGACUCACAUUAGUAAACACAACAAACACGCACUCGCGAAGGCAUCCUCAUAUUUCAUCUGCUUAAUAUCAAUGAGUGGGAUAGGCGCCCGGCCUUAUCGGUCUAAUUGAAUCGACUUGGAAAGGGGGAAGCGUUUAAUCCAAUUGGACGAGUGACAGAGGUAAAGGCGGACGGAUCACUUUGUUUCUCUGAUGGGCUGCAUGUACACAAAUUAAUGUUUACAACAAUAGAUAAUCAAACAGAUCUGAAGAAUCUGUUUAGAAGAGCAUCAUCAGAGAGACUUGUGGAACAGCGAUAUCGUGGACAGUGCAUGUGAAAUGGCUUGCGAUUUCAGUUGCUUGUUCAACCGUGGAUGUUGAUCAGUGAACAAGUCUUUUAAUUGGGAUAGUCGUUGGUUCGGAGCGGAGCUAAGUCCGGCUCAAGGAGAAUUAGAGAUAUUCCGAUAGCGAGUCUGCAGUUGGGUUCAUCCCUCAACCCCGACACUAGUCGAGAGGGUACGGAUGUGUAUUUCGACUGCCUGAUACAGGCCCAGCCGCCGGUUUACAAAGUGGAAUGUUGUCACAAUACGCUCCGACGUGCAAGGCGAACCAGACGCGGGUCCACGAAGUCGCGAAGUAGGAGAAGGCCAAUCCGCCAGACGUUCAUUUCCGGUGGACGUUCAAUAACUCUGCGGAGAGCCUGGACGUGGCUUCGGCCCACAUCGCUCGGUCCGGCACCUCCAGCGUCGUGACGUACACUCCUUUGACUGAGCUCGACUAUGGAACUCUGCUGUGCUGGGCCUCCGAUCGCAUCGGCAGCCAGCGUGUGCCUUGCUUCUUUCACAUUAUCGCAGCAGGUCAGUUGCUGUUCUUAAGCAUUAUUUUAUUAUCUAGUUAACGUCAUAAAAUUAAUUUAAUUUUAAUGUUUUGCUCCUCUUAGAAGAUCGGCUUUUGAGGAGGUUCGUUUCCACUUAUGAUUAUUACCGGUCAUUAAAAUUAGCAAAUACGUUCUGUCUUAAAGAUAGGUAUGAACGAUUAUUGGAGCGAAAUGCGAAAACUUGUUUGAGUCUGCGUUUUAACUACGAACUGUGGCAGUUAACGGGUUCGCCGUGAUCUUGCGGCAACUUCUCCGACACCUUCGUACUGCAGAGCAGUCUGAACAACUGCUGGCAGGCGUUACAUUAAGAAACAAGAGCUGAACUUUCAAAAUAAGCAAACCUUUAUUUUCGGAUUAUCAUCUAUUGGUAUCUAUACAAUCAUAAUUACCCACUAUAAAGGUCAGAGGUAAAAUUUACCUUCAGGGCAAGAAAGGAAAGUUAAUACAUCGUACUAACAUCAGGUUUGAUAGAGAUAUAAUGAUUUAGACCGCAACAGUAUUAGCUGUUUAAUUAUGUAAAUUCUGCACAAAUAUGUAAACUUGCCUGUAUUGUACACGGUGAUAGUCUCCCCGCUGCUGAAU